AAGCGCGAAACUGGCCUCGAGAUGAGUCUUCCCUGGGUCUGAGAGGUCCCUGAAGGCACGUUUAAGACGAAGACGUGGAUAGGCUGGGUGUGUAAGAGCAGCGAUGCUUUGAGCUAACCAGUACUAAUGAGCCGUGAGGCUUAACCUU
rfam:Serratia symbiotica str. Tucson genomic scaffold scaffold00211, whole genome shotgun sequence.